AUUUAAGUAGUUUAAAUAAAACAUUAAUUUGUGGGAUUAAAAAUAUAAUAGUUAAAUUAAUUUUAUCUUAAAUU
rnacentral:tRNA from 1 species